rnacentral:ncRNA from 1 species
UUAAUGGAGAGUUUGAUCCUGGCUCAGGACGAACGCUGGCGGCAUGCCUAACACAUGCAAGUCGAACGGACUUUUAGUAUUUAGUUUACUAAAUACUAAAAGUUAG